rnacentral:rRNA from 1 species
GAUGAACGCUGGCGGCGUGCCUAAUACAUGCAAGUCGAGCGAAUGGAUUAAGAGCUUGCUCUUAUGAAGUUAGCGGCGGACGGGUGAGUAACACGUGGGUAACCUGCCCAUAAGACUGGGAUAACUCCGGGAAACCGGGGCUAAUACCGGAUAACAUUUUGAACCGCAUGGUUCGAAAUUGAAAGGGGGCCUCGGCGGGCCCUUAUGGCUGGACCCGAGUCGCAUUAGCUAGUUGGUGAGGUAACGGCUCACCAAGGCAACGAUGCGUAGCCGACCUGAGAGGGUGAUCGGCCACACUGGGACUGAGACACGGCCCAGACGCCGACGGGAGGCAGCAGUAGGGAAUCUUCCGCAAUGGACGAAAGUCUGACGGAGCAACGCCGCGUGAGUGAUGAAGGCUUUCGGGUCGUAAAACUCUGUUGUUAGGGAAGAACAAGUGCUAGUUGAAUAAGCUGGCACCUUGACGGUACCUAACCAGAAAGCCACGGCUAACUACGUGCCAGCAGCCGCGGUAA